UACGAACCGUGCGAACGUUAUUCGGAAUCACUGGGCUUAAAGCGCGUGUAGGCGGGGUGGCACGUCGGUCGCUGAAAGCCCCCGGCUCAACCGGGGAAGGGGCGCCGAUACGACCACCCUGGAGGGACGUAGGGGGACCUGGAACUUCCGGUGGAGCGGUGAAAUGCGUUGAGAUCGGAAGGAACGCCCGUGGCGAAAGCGAGGUCCUGGACGUUUACUGACGCUGAGACGCGAAAGCCAGGGGAGCGAACGGG
rnacentral:rRNA from 1 species